ensembl:lncRNA
CGGCGGGUGCUCAGAACAAGGGCGCGGCCCCCAGCCGCUGGCCGCUCGGUGGCUCGGCCCGGCCAUGCCAAGUUGUCACCGUCCCCGAAGGCUCAGCCGGCCGCGGCAGCAGAACUGGAGAGCACGGCGAGCGCUUGCUGCCUCACGUCGAACGUAGAUGGUUAAACCCACGUUUUGCCAACAUGCUGUGGCCACACGUGCAAAGAAUGGAAGCAUAUUCUGCCAAAACCUAAGGGGUCUGAAUUUAUCUUUAAAAGCAUGGAAGACGCCCAAGCCCAAGCUGGUGGUCGGCUCAGCAGCCCGACGGCGAAGCGCAGAGUCAGCGGGCGCCGUUGGCUCUCAGCGACCCCGGGACGGUAACGCCGCGAAAGCGACUGAGAGGUGCCAGGACCGUUUCCCCGCACGAGACGCGUCCUCGGGGAGGGUGAAGGGAGUCGACACCCAACUUCGUUACAGCGUCGCUCAGAGGAGCACCUCACCCUGCAGCCGGUGCGGGGCCNNNNNNNNNNNNNNNNNNNNNNNNNNNNNNNNNNNNNNNNNNNNNNNNNNNNNNNNNNNNNNNNNNNNNNNNNNNNNNNNNNNNNNNNNNNNNNNNNNNNNNNNNNNNNNNNNNNNNNNNNNNNNNNNNNNNNNNNNNNNNNNNNNNNNNNNNNACGGUGCGGAGCGAGCAGACGCGCGGGACGACGCACGGCCCGAGAGCCGGCCGCGCUCUCGGCUGACAUCCGUCCGGAAAGAGGGAGAGCAAAACAACAAAAAAAAAAUAACGGUUUAGCGCGAACCCCAAAUGCUGCCAGCAGCUGUGAUGCUACCCAACGACGGCAGGCGGGCAAACGGUCGUUUCUGAGGAUUCACCGUGGGGCCUCUCAGGAGCCCAUUUAUCACUGGAUAUUUUCUGUGUCUUGACACAGCUGGGGGCGUUGGCCAAACUGGAGCAUCAAAGCUCUGGACCUGGCGCAGGUGGAAAUGCCCCAACCAAGCAGUGAUGGAGAGCUGCCUCCUCCCCACAGCCUCAUUGCAAAGCCGAAGAAGUCCACAGCUCGGUCCUAAUCACCUCAAACCAGCUAGCUCCUGGCACACGGCAGCUGCUGGGGGACACUGGUGGGGAUGAACUUGGGGCUCAGAGCAAGCCCGGGCUGCAGCCCUUAGUCCGGGGAGAGGGAUCCCACUUGGCUCAGCUCUGCCGGCAUGGACGGGAAGUCACGCCUUGGGUGGAAGAAGCUACCUCAGCACCCGGGACUUCAGCACAGUCCUUCUGCCCCCAGACGCGUGCGCGGCAGAGCGGCUUCCGGAUGGUCCGUGGGCUGCCGUUACUACGGCCGUGGCUGCGCUCACCAGCCACGCAAGUGUCCAGCUCCUCUUUGAAUCCUGCUGAUUUCCAGCACCCUAAGCGACGCUUAGGGCGCCGUGGCAUGGCCCACCUGGGCACGGCCUCCAGAAAGCCUCCUCCAUGUGUAUGGGGGCUGGAAGCGGAGAGAGUCUUUGAGUCUUUGUGCUUCUUGAGGAAGUAUUUUACUGGGAGAAAGUCACCCGGAGCGAGAGUGCACUUUCCCAUUUAUUAAUGCAAAUAUAUGAAAAUCACAUACAGUCCAAGGUCACAGUAUGAGAUGGUCACAAGCAGGACGAUUCAUAGUUAAAGGUCAGAAAGAAAUAAGAGACUGACCCUCAACUCAGGGCGGCUCUUGGCCUUUCACAUUUAAUUCUCUCGCUGCGGCAUUGUUUGAGGCCCGAAGUCGGCGUGCGUCCUCCGCAACGCGCCGCCUUCCCCUCUGGGACGGGCCGUGCUUCUGGCGCGAGCUGCAGGUCCCCCAGCAACAAAACUCAACGGCGCUAUUGCUGUUUUCCGUACGAUCAUGCAAUUUCCCCUCUGCCCGGGGAACAGGGGGGCGCGGGACCGCCGAGGGGAUCCAAGCAUGCGGGCAGGGAGGUAGGUGUGAAAGCGGUGGAGCAAGCAGAGGGGAACCCCCGGGCCUCAGCUUCAGAGAAGUCUCCCAUGCCGGUGGUAACGGUCCUGCCCCCAGGCCGAGGCGGACGAGCGGAGCCUGCGCGGCUUCUCGUGGCCGCAGCGUCCGUCACGACGUGACAGCCCCAGCCCAGCACGGCGACACAGAGGUGAAUCUGUUCCAGGAUGACUGCAGGGAAACUGUGAGACUGUAGGAAAACACGCUGAGAUCUGCAAAUGUCACUUUUGCUCCGUAAACAAGGACAGGUUCUGUUUAAAACCAAAAGCACAAGGAGGAGAAGUCAGAUUUCUAGUUGCAGUUAUGAGCCGCAGACGCUGUGGGACCGUGCAGGGCAUGCCGAAACCGGAGCUGCCCCGCGCCUGUCCCGAGAUUCAUGCCUGGGCGCGGGGAAGGCCCGGCUGCCACCGGCACCAGCUGGGCCCCUCCUGCGCCGGCCGGGCAGAAGAGUCACGCCAUUUGUCUCGUGUGCAGCCGCCCCGUUUCUGCCCUGGGCUGCGAAGCCGCGGGGCGCCGGUGGAGCACCCCGACCUCUCCUCAGCAGAAGCGACGCGCUGUUCCCUCCUUGGCCGUUGUGCGGCCGCUGUGCUUCACGCACGUCCCUGCCGAGUUGGAUCUUAGCUACUUCAGAUCGUUUCCCCUCUCUGACGGAGUCGAAUCCUGCUGUCUGCUGAGCUUGCAGCCUCUUUUAGCUUCGGGUCAUCUGCAGAUGGGACACAGGCUGAGCUUGGGCGGCAGCCAGGAGAGGAGCUGCUGCCUUGCCUUCCUCCUCCGGGCACUCGAGCCUGCAGGCUUUUUCUGCUCCUCCCUUGCACUGGAGAUAGGCUGUUUCCUGAGCGCCCUAAAUUCAGCCAAGAAGCUGGACGCCGUUGACCCGAGGGUAGUCCAACUAGCCCCAGAGCGCCGACACUUCUAAUGAGUUAGUCCAUAAAGUCUAUUAAACCCAGCAGUGGUUGAAUCAAAAGUCAGUCCAAUGAGAAGGCAUCAGGUAGCCAAAAUUAAGCUGCUGCUCUGACACCUCUUUCCAUCAGAAGGCAUUUUUUUUCCAGGGUUUUCACACCGGAUGAGUCACUUUUCCUUUAAACCUCACUACUCUGAAUCCACAAACGUACAUCCAUCCUCCUGGCUGCAGCUGGGGUAAUUCAAAGGUCAAAGGGAAAAGUAGUACAGGGUUUUAAGAACACCCUCCCCCACAAAAAAAACCCCUCUGUGUAGCCAGGGAAUACAAAAACCACGGAAAACCCAUCAAGUUGCCUGCUUGUAUAUUUAAGACGUUAUUGUUAAAAAUGCCCUAUGUUGAUUUUCCUUUCCUCUUUCACCCCCUUUCUUAAGACCUGUGCAACAGAAUUCCCUGUUUUCCACAGCAUCCUGACAACGCGCCAAGUAGCAGAGAGCAGCUGAGACCAUAUUUUGUCCAGCAAACCAAAAGCCAGCGAAGUUGGUGAUAAAUAUGCACAAGUUGUUACGGUCAUUGUGAUACAAGGGUUGGAUUUCAUCCCAGGCCAGCCUGUUUGCAAUGCUCUCCAAGCGUUUGCGCAAGGCCCUGCGGGGUGAUUUCCUGCAUUCACAAUCAGUUUAGCAAUUUGGCCCUUGCUAAUACCAUUAUACACUGAAUUAUGAGGGGAGGUUUCAGCCCCCAGUCACAUUGGCUGUCCACCUUGGAGACUAGAAAUACGUCCCAGCGCUCCUAAUUUUGCGUAGCGUUCAGUUUGGGGGUAGUCGAGUGUGCUGUCCUCCGUGGCGUCGGGCUUUCAUACAAGGUGGAAAGGAAGGUUCAGAAACCGGCUCGUUUUCCAUACAAAUGGUCCUCGUCAAUAGGGGAUGCUGGGCUGGGCCUGGCCUCCAUGCCAAGUCCGAGUUUCUGGGUAAGAUGGGCACAUUCGAGAAUCUAGACUCCUGGGCUGCUUUUCCCAGCAAAAGCCCCGUUUAAGAACCACUGCUGAUUUCUCAUCAGCAAACAAUUAGCAGUGAGUCAAUCAACGCGUGGGCCAGCAGCUCGGCUGAUAGGAACUGGCAUAGCUUCGUUUCGGUCCGCGGCGCUCUCCAGCCUUCCACGCAAACCGAGAGCCGGGAGUUAGUCGCUGCCGGGAGUCGGGAGAGCGAGCGGUUUGCACCAGAGUUCCCAGCCGCGGGAAGGUCCAGCUGCGCCCUGGGCUGCUCUCCCAAGCCGGACGCACAGCUGCGACGGCCGCGGAGGCCGUGCCGGGAACGCGGGUCUUCGGGCUGAAAGGCCACCGUUGCCUUCGUGGCGGGGCACAGCGCCGCUUGCUCGCCGGCGUGGAGGGUGGCAGCUGGGAGACCGCCGCGAGGCGACCUGAACGCGGAGCAGCGACUCAGCGACCAGCACGACUCCGUGUAAACAGCCCCGAUGGUAACUCUAUCUUGCGUUUUGCUGUAAAACCAGACACUGACUCACAAAAAGCUGCGGGCCAAGAUUUGUAAUGGCCUUUUUGGCUGCAGUCACAUAGACAAAGGGGAGAAAAUUGCAGGUUGGGCUUGAAGAGUAAAUAAAGAAAUAUACUUAAGAUCCUCA